GUAUGGGUGGUUCUGGCAUCUUGAUGGAAUAAUGUGGUUUUUUAUUGAUGUCUUUAUUGAUCACUGUGAGCUGCCUAGGAGAUUACUAUGUGAGAUAGGCAGCUACAAAAGUUCUUUAAUUAUAGGUAGUCCUUAAUGUCCAUUUGUUCAGUGACUAACGUUAUUAUGGCAUUGAAUGCAGGGACUUGCAAUUAGUCUUUAAAGUUCUGAUCACUCAGCACCUCCACAAUCAUGUGAACAAAAUUCAGGCCUCCCUGCCUUUACAACUGCCAAUCACCACCACUGCUGUCUCAUUUCCAGCUGACCUUUGUCAUCUUUAUCUGCCUCUCCUCCACUGGACUCACCAUCCUGGCCAUGCAUAGGGGAGAUGAUGUGGAAACAUCCUGCAGACGGGCAAGUUAAGCUAUGGGCAGCUUUAUGUACUGCCUCCUAUUUUUCCUACAACAAUCCUGAGAGGUAGGCUGAACAGAGAGGAAAUGACUUGUCCAAAGGACCAUGUGCCUCCAAUCCUGCCUAGCAACAGAACUACAAUACUAUGCCAUCUAUUUACUCUGUUUCCCAGGAGGAGGAGGAGGAGGCUGCAGGAGGUUGGAGCCAAGGGACAGUCUGAAGUACCACCUCCUUGAAUACUGCAGAAAACAGUAAUGAGAAGAGGUGAAAAUAAAUGAGAAAGCA